UGCGUAGGCGGUUUAUUAAGUCAAAUCUGAAAGUCCUCGGCUCAACCGAGGAGGGUGAUUUGAAACUGGUAGACUUGAGUACGGCAGAGGUUAGUGGAAUUCAAUGUGUAGCGGUGGAAUGCGUAGAUAUAUUGAGGAACACCAGUGGCGAAGGCGGCUAACCGGACCGGAACUGACGCUGAUGCACGAAAGCGUGGGGAGCAAACAGGAUUAGAUACCCUGGUAGUCC
rnacentral:rRNA from 1 species